GAUGAACGCUGGCGGUGUGCCUAAUACAUGCAAGUCGAGCGAACAGACGAGGAGCUUACUCCUCUGACGUUAGCGGCGGACGGGUGAGUAACACGUGGAUAGCCUACCUAUAAGACUGGGAUAACUUCGGGAAACCGGAGCUAAUACCGGAUAACAUGUUGAACCGCAUGGUUCAACAGUGAAAGACGGUCUUGCUGUCACUUAUAGAUGGAUCCGCGUCGCAUUAGCUAGUUGGUAAGGUAACGGCUUACCAGGGCAACGAUGCGUAGCCGACCUGAGAGGGUGAUCGGCCACACUGGAACUGAGACACGGUCCAGACUCCUACGGGAGGCAGCAGUAGGGAAUCUUCCGCAAUGGGCGAAAGCCUGACGGAGCAACGCCGCGUGAGUGAAGAAGGUCUUCGGAUCGUAAAACUCUGUUAUUAGGGAAGAACAAAUGUGUAAGUAACUAUGCACGUCUUGACGGUACCUAAUCAGAAAGCCACGGCUAACUACGUG
rnacentral:rRNA from 1 species